GCCGGGCACAGUGGUGCAUGCCUGUAAUCCCAGUGACUAGAGAGGCUGAGACAAGAGGAUCACAAGUUCAAGGCCAGCCUCAGCAACUUAGGCCCUAAGCAAUUUAGUGAGACCCUGUCUCAA
rnacentral:sRNA from 1 species